GUUUGUGAUGCGAGGACUCUCUUUGCACCUAUUUUAUUGCGUUUAUCGGACGGAAUCCUCACGUAUUGUUCUUUCGCACACAUUUCGUAAACAAAUCGGCUUCCUCUUCGGCCUGCCCAAAGUGGCCCCCCAUUCCUGUUCGGUGUGUACUCUUUGCGUGUUUUUUGGGGGGAGGGGGUGUUGUCACAGUUAUCCUGGCGGUAUGCCGGUGUCAAGUUUUGGAGCGCUCGUUGCUUAUUUGGGACGCGUUGGGAGCACUUUAGGCCCCAGACGAACAAAACUACAAGACACUACUUUGCCUGUUGGCUUGGCAGGAGACAGAGAAGAUUGUGUUCUGGCUUCCGAUUGGCUACGUGGUCUGUCAAUCAGGGGCCUCGACCAGUCGGAUUCGGAAGACGAACGUCUGAAUCGAGCCCACUGGUGACCAACAGAAAGCACCCUGCCUGACUCACUGCUCAAAACAAGCGCGACACGUCUUCGCACGCACUUCCGACCUGGCUUGUCAGAAUAAAACGCUUUGUAUUUAUUUUAAGAAUACAUUUUCUUGAAAUUACAGUGUUAUUUUUUUGAUGAUAUCUAUGUUUUUGAGCAUUAAAGGAACAGGUAUUAGCAAUUUACACACAAGUGCUUUAAAUCCUGGCACUGGUGAUGAAAAUAUGCAACAGUAUUGGCCAAUAAAUGAAGCGUAUAGUUUCUGAACCACAUGUGGAAUCCGAAGCAUUACCGCUUAAAUAAAAAGAUGAGCCAGAAAUGAAAUUCCAGGAGCUUUUGAGUCCGUGCCGUUUGUCAUUCCUGAUAAGCCAAGUUUCCAAUCGGAAGUGCUGCAGAAGCCACCUUAAAUUCCAGGGUACAUUUUUGGUCUACAUGUCAUUUCUGGAGCUGCUUUAAAGUCCAGGUGCUAUCUCACUUUUUGGCUCCUGGUAAGUGACGUGCGGCUAAAUUUAGCCAAUAGUUCCUGCAUCCGAUUGUGCAAUGGCCCUCCGAAACGUCAUCGUUUCAGGAUAGCGUUCCUGUGGUGCACAAAGACUUCUGUUUAAAUUGAUCACAGCUGAUGGUUCUGUUGGACUCUGAAAAGGUUUCAGCUACCUUUGGGUGUUAAACUGCUUCAAGAAAACGUGUCAAGUGUUAGCCUCAUAAUAGCAGAAUGACUUCAAUCAUUUUUUCGCAUUUUUGGCCUUGAUUACAUUUUGAUUGAUGAUCUAUGCAGACGUGAAGGCAAAACAAAACACGGAGUUAUUUAUUUUAUUUUUUAAAAUGUCUUUUGGCAGUAAGUGAAAAAUAACGGAAGCAAUUACGCUAUUAGUUAUAAGUGGUUAUAGUUGCUGAUUCCAUAAUUGCGCGGUUUGGAAACUGCGCGACGCAGUAGAGGAAGGUGCGCCGUACGUCUGCGACGCGUCUUUUUCCUUUGUGCCAGACAUUUACAACCCCCACCCCCCUGCCCCCCAUCAGGAGGAUCCAGAUUAUUUCUCAAUCGGGAACUUUCAACGGGAAUGACAGGAAAUGUCCCUGCAAAAUGGAAAGCUCUCCUUGCCCACAAGGGAGAGCAUUUCUGUACUUUAGCUGUUGCCCAAUGUAAUUGAUUCAAAAAAAAUUAAAAAUUAAAAAUACUGGAUUGCGACAACCCUAAAGGCAUCCCCUCGGUUACGCCGCCUUCUGUCCCCGCAGUCUGUGAUUGGCCAGUUUGAUUCAGGACGUGAUGCGUUCAGAAACAAUUAAUUAAUUAGAAAAUUCAAUUAGAGGCAUGAGAUGGGGGGCCAGCGGGAGCCGAUCUUCCUCACAAAGACAAAACAAAACACUGGCUGCCCUGGAAAAAAAUGAAAAAUUUUCCAAGAUGACGGCCAAUCAAAGUCAUACUUUUAUUCUGAAAGGCCACUUUACCACCACAGUUGACAGCCUGUCGCUGGCUUGAUGCACAGAGAUAAUUAGGACCCCCAACCACCCCCCUCCUACCUCCCUCCCUCCUUCCUGGCCUGGCCUGCACUAUUUAUCUGUGGGGAAGUUGAGAGCAGAGUCGAAGAAGUUGGCGGCGGUCGUGGACGUCGGGUCAUGGUCAGUCGUUCAGCGACAUGACGGGCUGACGCGCGUCCAGGAGGCACUGCGGCCUCGUGAGUUAAAAAAAACACAAAAAAAAAAAGAUGCCGGCCAGACUAAAAUGUCGCCUAAAAUGAUGUUUGUGUAUUAAUUGGUUAUUUAGUGAACCGACAUGUUCAGCACUUGCAGACCCAAAGACUCUCCAGGACUCUCAGCGCUCCUCAAAAUUCCGUGUGGCGGGGUCACGUUUCCGCACGGACUGACCUCCAUCCGGUUUUUACUUUGUCCCA